rnacentral:rRNA from 1 species
AAUCGCAGAUCAGCAUGCUGCGGUGAAUACGUUCCCGGGCCUUGUACACACCGCCCGUCACACCAUGGGAGUCGGUAACACCCAAAGUUGGUAGCCUAACCGCAAGGAGGGCGCCGCCUAAGGUGGGAUUGAUGACUGGGGUGAAGUCGUAACAAGGUAGC